UACGUAGGGUGCGAGCGUUGUCCGGAAUUACUGGGCGUAAAGAGCUCGUAGGUGGUUUGUCGCGUUGUCCGUGAAAACUCACAACUCAAUUGUGGGCGUGCGGGCGAUACGGGCAGACUGGAGUACUGCAGGGGAGACUGGAAUUCCUGGUGUAGCGGUGGAAUGCGCAGAUAUCAGGAGGAACACCGGUGGCGAAGGCGGGCUCUGGGCCGAUA
rnacentral:rRNA from 1 species